rnacentral:rRNA from 2 species
GCUAUACAUGCAGUCGACGAACUCUGGUAUUGAUUGGGUGCUUGCAUCAUGAUUUACAUUUGAGUGAGUGGCGAACUGGUGAGUAACACGUGGGAAACCUGCCCAGAAGCGGGGGAUAACACCUGGAAACAGAUGCUAAUACCGCAUAACAACUUGGACCGCAUGGUCCGAGUUUGAAAGAUGGCUUCGGCUAUCACUUUUGGAUGGUCCCGCGGCGUAUUAGCUAGAUGGUGGGGUAACGGCUCACCAUGGCAAUGAUACGUAGCCGACCUGAGAGGGUAAUCGGCCACAUUGGGACUGAGACACGGCCCAAACUCCUACGGGAGGCAGCAGUAGGGAAUCUUCCACAAUGGACGAAAGUCUGAUGGAGCAACGCCGCGUGAGUGAAGAAGGGUUUCGGCUCGUAAAACUCUGUUGUUAAAGAAGAACAUAUCUGAGAGUAACUGUUCAGGUAUUGACGGUAUUUAACCAGAAAGCCACGGCUAACUACGUGCCAGCAGCCGCGGUAAUACGUAGGUGGCAAGCGUUGUCCGGAUUUAUUGGGCGUAAAGCGAGCGCAGGCGGUUUUUUAAGUCUGAUGUGAAAGCCUUCGGCUCAACCGAAGAAGUGCAUCGGAAACUGGGAAACUUGAGUGCAGAAGAGGACAGUGGAACUCCAUGUGUAGCGGUGAAAUGCGUAGAUAUAUGGAAGAACACCAGUGGCGAAGGCGGCUGUCUGGUCUGUAACUGACGCUGAGGCUCGAAAGUAUGGGUAGCAAACAGGAUUAGAUACCCUGGUAGUCCAUACCGUAAACGAUGAAUGCUAAGUGUUGGAGGGUUUCCGCCCUUCAGUGCUGCAGCUAACGCAUUAAGCAUUCCGCCUGGGAGUACGCCGCAAGGCUGAAACUCAAAGGAAUUGACGGGGGCCCGCACAGCGGUGAGCAUGUGGUUUAUUCGAAG